CCUACGGGAGGCAGCAGUGGGGAAUCUUGCGCAAUGGGCGAAAGCCUGACGCAGCAACGCCGCGUGCGGGAAGAAGGCUUUCGGGCUGUAAACCGCUUUCAGCAGGAACGAAAAUGACGGUACCUGCAGAAGAAGGAGCGGCCAACUAUGUGCCAGCAGCCGCGGUGAUACAUAGGCUUCAAGCGUUGUCCGGAUUUAUUGGGCGUAAAGAGUUCGUAGGCGGUCGAGUAAGUCGGGUGUGAAAAUUCUGGGCUCAACCCAGAGACGCCACCCGAUACUGCUUAACUUGAGUUCGAUAGGGGAGUGGGGAAUUCCUAGUGUAGCGGUGAAAUGCGCAGAUAUUAGGAGGAACACCGGUGGCGAAGGCGCCACUCUGGAUCGAUACUGACGCUGAGGAACGAAAGCAUGGGUAGCAAACAGGAUUAGAUACCCUGGCAGUCCAUGCCGUAAACGGUGGGCACUAGGUGUGGGAUUCUAUUAACGAAUUCCGCGCCGUCGCUAACGCAUUAAGUGCCCCGCCUGGGGAGUACGGUCGCAAGACUAAAACUCAAAGAUAGACGG
rnacentral:rRNA from 1 species